rnacentral:lncRNA from 1 species
UGGAGCAACUGGCUUCACCUCUCUGAGCCUUUAUUUCCCACAUCUGCAAAGUGGUGCACAGUAAUACCCACGUUCCUGGCUCUGUGUAAGGAGCCAUGAGAGUGUAUUUAAAGGGCCCAGCACCCAGCUGCUCUCAGUAGAUGCUCAAGAGACAGUAACAACCCUAUCGUUAUAUGAGGUUCAAUGCAACUCAUCUGAUUCCCCUUCCAGUGGCUGGAGAACAUCCCACCUUCUGAGCCUUGGGGAGAAGCAGAGUGUGCCCUUUCCCUGCCCACUGGAGAAGCUGAAACAACAAAAACUCCCUUCCCUGGCCUCCCUGCAGUAAGUCAAAGAUGGUGUCGAAAAUGGUGAAAUCAAGAACUAGUGCUUAGAAUUAUGGAGAUUUAAAAACAGAAGAGACACCUCCCAGAGUUGCAAGUGGUCGCCUGUCCCAGAGAGCUGGUGAGAUGAGGUGGGGAGGUGGCAGCUGAGUUUUAUGGUGAGAAAGUGGAGUUCGAAGAUGUCAUCAGCCCAGGUCACACAGAUGGUGGAGACCAGUGUGGAGCCCGGGAGUGGGCUGAGCAGAGCAUCUGGACUUUGAGCUUCCAUCAGACCCUGAGAUAGUCACCUGUCCUGGCUGCCUGGUGACCCUGGUGUGCUAACGUGGCACUUAUCUUGCUCUAUGGAGGCCCCUGGGCCCCCUAAACACCAGAACCCAGUUGCUGUGCUAAAAAGAACUCACAGACCACGUGGAGUGGAGCAGAUGGGUCAGUGUCCCAGGUGGCAGCCCGUGUCGGCCUCAGACCUGCACGUGAGGAUGCCCACCAGAGGGUUCCUGCCACCACCGUCAAGUCACCCCAGCCUUAAUCUUCCAGCCGGCGCCUCAGGCAUUAUGGGCAGAGGUAAACUGUCUCCAUGAUGCCCUUUCCAAAUUUCUGACCCACAGAAUCCAUGGCUAUAAUAAAAUGGCUGUCUUAUGUGCUCAA